rnacentral:rRNA from 1 species
UAACGCGUAGGGUAACCUGCCUUGUAGCGGGGGAUAACUAUUGGAAACGAUAGCUAAUACCGCAUAACAAUGGAUGACCCAUGUCAUUUAUUUGAAAGGGGCAAAUGCUCCACUACAAGAUGGACCUGCGUUGUAUUAGCUAGUAGGUGAGGUAACGGCUCACCUAGGCGACGAUACAUAGCCGACCUGAGAGGGUGAUCGGCCACACUGGGACUGAGACACGGCCCAG